rnacentral:rRNA from 1 species
CCUGUAGGGUACUGCGGAGACAUUAACGAGUAAACAAGGGGAGUUGUAGCUGGCCGCAAGGCAUGUGCACACUCCUCGCUCAAUCCAACCUUACACCUGUGCAUCCAUUGUAGGAUGGAUGGUUCUGGUCUUAACGGACUGGGCUGUCCUUCCUAUGUUUUAUACAAACACCCCAAGUAACAUGAAUGUCAUCUGCGUCUAACGCAUCUAUACAACUUUCAACAACGGAUCUCUUGGCUCUCGCAUCGAUGAAGAACGCAGCGAAAUGCGAUAAGUAAUGUGAAUUGCAGAAUUCAGUGAAUCAUCGAAUCUUUGAACGCACCUUGCGCUCCUUGGUAUUCCGAGGAGCAUGCCUGUUUGAGUGUCAUUAAAAUCUCAACCCUACCAGCUUUACGGCUGUGCUUGGGCUUGGACUUGGGGGUUUGCUGGCUCUUUUGAGUCGGCUCCUCUCUAAAAUCAUUAGCUGGAUCUGUUGCUGACCGGCGCUCAGUGUGAUAAUUGUCUACGCUGUCGUCGUGAAGUGCCUUGAAGGAUCUGCUUCCAACUGUCUGUCUUCGGACGACCCUUGACAUUUUGACCUCAAAUCAGGUAGGACUACCCGCUGAACUUAAGCAUAUCAAAA